UGGUUUUUUCUUAUUUUCCUCUGCUUCAUGUUGGAGUAUCAUUAUGAAAUCAUUAUGAGCAUCAUUUCUUUCUUUCUUUCUUUCUUUCUUUCUUUCUUUCUUUCUUUCUUUCUUUCUUUCUUUCUUUCUUUCUUUCUUUCUUUCUUUCUUUCUUUCUUUCUUUCUUUCUUUCUUUCUUUCUUUCUUUCUUUCUUUCUUUCUUUCUUUCUUUCUUUCUUUCUUUCUCUUUCUUUCUUUCUUCCUUCCUUCCUUCCUUCCUUCCUUCCUUCCUUCCUUCCUUCCUUCCUUCCUUCCUUCCUUCCUUCCUUCCUUCCUUCCUUCCUUCCUUCCUUCCUUCCUUCCUUCUUUCCUUCCUUCCUUCCUUCCUUCCUUCCUUCCUUCCUUCCUUCCUUCCUUCCUUCCUUCCUUCUUUUUCUUUCUUUU
rnacentral:lncRNA from 1 species